ACGGAAGGCAGCAGUGGGGAAUAUUGCGCAAUGGGCGGAAGCCUGACGCAGCGACGCCGCGUGAGGGAUGACGGCCUUCGGGUUGUAAACCUCUUUCAGCAGGGACGAAGCGAAAGUGACGGUACCUGCAGAAGAAGCACCGGCCAACUACGUGCCAGCAGCCGCGGUAAUACGUAGGGUGCAAGCGUUGUCCGGAAUUAUUGGGCGUAAAGAGCUCGUAGGCGGUUUGUCGCGUCGGCUGUGAAAGCCCGGAGCUCAACUCCGGGUCUGCAGUCGAUACGGGCAGACUUGAGUGUUGCAGGGGAGACUGGAAUUCCUGGUGUAGCGGUGAAAUGCGCAGAUAUCAGGAGGAACACCGGUGGCGAAGGCGGGUCUCUGGGCAACAACUGACGCUGAGGAGCGAAAGCGUGGGGAGCGAACAGGAUUAGAUACCCUGGUA
rnacentral:rRNA from 1 species